CAGUCGCCGCGGUAAUACGAAGGGUGCAAGCGUUAAUCGGAAUUACUGGGCGUAAAGCGUGCGUAGGCGGUUUGUUAAGUCUGCUGUGAAAUCCCCGGGCUCAACCUGGGAAUGGCAGUGGAUACUGGCAAGCUAGAGUGUGUCAGAGGAUGGUGGAAUUCCCGGUGUAGCGGUGAAAUGCGUAGAGAUCGGGAGGAACAUCAGUGGCGAAGGCGGCCAUCUGGGACAACACUGACGCUGAGGCACGAAAGCGUGGGGAGCAAACAGGAUUAGAUACCCGUGUAGUCCCUGUCUCUUAUAC
rnacentral:rRNA from 1 species